UAGGGAAUCUUCGGCAAUGGACGAAAGUCUGACCGAGCAACGCCGCGUGAGUGAAGAAGGUUUUCGGAUCGUAAAACUCUGUUGUUAGAGAAGAACAAGGACGUUAGUAACUGAACGUCCCCUGACGGUAUCUAACCAGAAAGCCACGGCUAACUACGUGCCAGCAGCCGCGGUAAUACGUAGGUGGCAAGCGUUGUCCGGAUUUAUUGGGCGUAAAGCGAGCGCAGGCGGUUUCUUAAGUCUGAUGUGAAAGCCCCCGGCUCAACCGGGGAGGGUCAUUGGAAACUGGGAGACUUGAGUGCAGAAGAGGGGAGUGGAAUUCCAUGUGUAGCGGUGAAAUGCGUAGAUAUAUGGAUGAACACCAGUGGCGAAGGCGGCUCUCUGGUCUGUAACUGACGCUGAGGCUCGAAAGCGUGGGGAGCAAACAGG
rnacentral:rRNA from 1 species